AUAGCAUUCCAGGCAGAUACUGGUAAUUAACUGGAGGCAGGAGAGGCGGCACAUGAGAUGAAUCAUACUGAUUAUAACUGGACGCUCAACAGAUAGGCAGUAUAUUGAAAUUGACUGAACACUUGGAUAUUUGUUUGGGCCUCACAGUUUUUAAAGGAUUCUGAUAAAACAGAAAGUCCAGAAAAGAGCAAUCAGUAUAGUUGAAAGACCUGGUUAUGUUUUCCAGAAAAAUGAGAAGACUUGGGAUUCCAGGUCUGCACCUGCUUCUCCUCUGAUUCUUCUUUACCAGCUAUCCAUAUUUACUCCAUCCUGAUGAGCUUCAGCUACCACUCUCGAAGUGUGAUUCUUAAAUCUCUAUCUGCAGUUCAGAACUCUUCUGAAUACCAGAAACCAUAGGUCCAAUUGAUUGUUGACCAUUGCCAUCUGGCAUUAAACAGGACUUCAAGCAUAAAUCCAAAACUGAACUCAUCAGAUUUAUCCCAAAGCUCUUUUUCCCCUUGACAAUUAGUCAAAUAAAAAUAUAAACCACAA
ensembl:lncRNA LINC01755 long intergenic non-protein coding RNA 1755